UAGAGCAGGAUCUUUCAGAGUCUACUUGCAAGCUUCGACACAAGAAGUUGUACAUGCUGCAGAUUCCCCAUCUCCUGUAUCAUGGCAAGUGGAAAGGUCUAGAAUAUCAGAGUGACAGAAGGAAGAGACUGCUAAACGGGCUUGUUCCACAGAAUGACCCCUGUAUGAGAUCCAUGGGGCUUCGUGAUCCUUGGCUUUACAUUUGAAGACCCACUCUGUGAAAUGCCUGGUGGAGCAGCUGCAAGGGAACAUAAAUACUGCACUGUGACCUCCAUCUGAGCCCUCCCUAGCAUCUCUGUGGUUGGAAUAUCCAGAUAAUGUGCAGAAGUCGGCAGUUAUAGGACCAGU